AGCCGGUGAUGAGCUCCCACAUUUCUGACACCUCGUAUGAGUAUUGCACGAGCAAUACCUGAUUUUGCUUGGGUGCUGAGGCUG